GUGGGGAAUAUUGGACAAUGGGCGAAAGCCUGAUCCAGCCAUGCCGCGUGUGUGAAGAAGGUCUUCGGAUUGUAAAGCACUUUAAGUUGGGAGGAAGGGCAGUAAGUUAAUACCUUGCUGUUUUGACGUUACCGACAGAAUAAGCACCGGCUAACUUCGUGCCAGCAGCCGCGGUAAUACGAAGGGUGCAAGCGUUAAUCGGAAUUACUGGGCGUAAAGCGCGCGUAGGUGGUUUUGUCAGUUGGAGGUGAAAUCCCCGGGCUCAACCUGGGAACUGCCUCCAAAACUGCAUGACUAGAGUACGGUAGAGGGUAGUGGAAUUUCCUGUGUAGCGGUGAAAUGCGUAGAUAUAGGAAGGAACACCAGUGGCGAAGGCGACUACCUGGACUGAUACUGACACUGAGGUGCGAAAGCGUGGGGAGCAAACAGGAUUAGAUACCCUUGUAGUCC
rnacentral:rRNA from 1 species